UUCCCUCCCGUCCAAGACUGAAGACUACCGCUGAAACACUCUGACGCACGGUUUCAUUGUGACGGAAGUCGUCAACCGCUCAAACGCUCUCCAAAAGCUCCGUCGCGGCCUGGGGAUGACGGCAACAACGCUCCGCCUUCAGAUCUGUCUCAAAGGCUCAAAGGAUUCUUUAAUUUGUUUGUCCCAUAGGACUGCCUUUUGCCGUAGUAAAGGGUCACAGGUAAUUUUAAAGCUAGGGGAGUUGCGGAAUACCAAAGUAUUUGGAUGCUGACUGGAUGAGAACUGAUGUUAUUGGCAGUAGAAGGAGGGGGUUUCUUCUCUUCUUCAGCUUCUGGGUAUAGCAAAGGCCUUGCCCUUCUUCCGUUAAGGUUGGUUCUACUCAGCACCUAAACCCUAGUUCUGCAAUACCUCUGAUCUGUUGAGGGUGCCCUUAAAAAUAAGAGGCAAUAUGUGAAAAGAGUAAUGAUGUCUCUGGUCAUACUGAGAGAAAGAAACUAUAAUGGACAGAUACAUUUGGCGGUGAGCUUUUUGAGGUCCAAGAAUUUGAGCUUUGGUAUGAAUUCUAGAUCCUUCAAUAUUCUUUCAAGUGCAAGUAAGUUCAUAAUAUUUAUCUUGCUUAUUGCUGAACUUUGUUGGAACUUUCUUAAUGUUGUGAGACUACUUAGGAACUACUUCAUGUUAAAUAUGUGUUUGGGACUUGUGAAGGUUUUAUUGUGAACCCAUUUAGAUAGGGGAAAUAUGUUGUGUAGAUUUUAUUAUAUUUCUAUAUGUUGUGUGAGGAUUGGGAAAUAAACUUUUGAAUUUGUUAAAAACUGAAUGCAGGCCACAGUUGAUGAAAUAAAGAGUAUGUUUUCAACUGUUAGCUUUGUAUGGGAUGUGUUUAUUCCUCAAAAUGCAGAGACAUGUUUGUCUAAGGGUCAAAAAAUCAAGAUGAGGGAGAAAAAAGGUGAUUAGCUGAAGAACAAGGCACGGAUUUUUGAGAUUAAAUUGGAGCUAACCGGGUGAUCGACUAAAUGAUGAAAUACAAGCUCCUUCAUGAAGAUUAAUUACUUUAUGUUUUAUGAUUUUUUUUUUUUUUUUGUGUAUGGCAAUAGUGCAUUGGUUAAAUAUUUAUAGAUCGGACAUGAUUCUAUCUUUUUAUUGUAAAUAAUUUUAAUAUUUAAAUAUAUUUUCAUUUUGAAUUUA